rnacentral:lncRNA from 10 species
UCUCAAACUCCUGACACUUUGUGAUCCGCCCGCCUCGGCCUCCCAAAGUGCUGGGAUUACAGGCGUGAGCCACCACGCCUGGCUGCAAAGUUUUCUUCUUCCAAUUUAACAAAAAAGACGUCACUUCAAAGAUGAUCCUUGGUUCUUGGGGCAUGACAGAAGAGAAAAGGUAAAUAUGUCUGGACACCUCUCUUCUCCCAUCUCUUCCUAGGGUAAGGACUGUCAUUUACUGCUCACUUCUCUAGUCCUAGUACCAAAACCAUGCCCAGAUGCAGCUGGGGUGCACUUGUGGUUCUUUCGGUGGUGCCAAAACCUAUCUGUUUGACUGGUUAAGUGUGUAGAAAGUAGGAGCCCUCUUUGCCAGUAAAAAGGGGUGCAGUUGAUCAGAGAGGAAAGUAAAUGUACCCAUGUGUGACACAGCCAUCACUAUGUAUUCAAGACAGAUGCUGUACCUGAGGCAAAGUACCCCAAUUCUAGAGCUAAUUAUCUGCUUUAUUUGAAACUUGUCUAUCAUUUUACCAUGCCGAUUCUUCAAAAUAAGACUAUAAAACAUAAAACAGAAAGGACUAUUGAUAGGAUUUUGCUUGUUCAUGGUUCUUUGUAAAACAGCAAUAAACCACCCUGGCUGAGGAAGCACUGAGACUCAACCUCUAUAAACUGAACUUCACAAGCACUUAUUUAAAAACAAGAGGCAGAGAUGGAAGAAGCGCAUAUGGACUUUCUCUUAACAUCCCACAGGGGAGCUUGCCCUAAUUCUUUUUCUCCUGAAAAUUAACUCUCUUGGGCUCCAAAGAUCAACUCAGCUUCACCUAAGAGGUUAUGUACUGACCUUCCUAACGAUCAAAGGCUUCAGAGACACUGAAUUGAUGCGUCUAAAAAAAAUAGAUACAACGGGUAGAUGUGACUUGAGGGGGAAGCUGCAGAAGCCCAUCAUGCAAGAAACUCACUUGCCUCUUAUGGUACUUUCAGGCAGGUAGAAUGUUUAUCCUGGGCUGGGCGCAGUGGCUCACGCCUGUAAUCCUAGCAUGUUGGGAGGCUGAGGUGGGCAGAUCACCUGAGGUUGGGAGUUUGAAACCAGCCUGACCAACAUGGUGAAACCCCGUCUCUACUAAAAAUACAAAUUUUGCCGGGCGUGGUGGCACAGGCUGUAAUUCCAGCUACUCGGGAGGCUAAGGGAGGAGAAUCGCUUGAACCCAAGAGGCGGAGGUUGCGGUGAGCCGAGAUCUCACUAUUGCACUCCAGCCUGGGCAACAAGAAAAAAAAAAAAAGUUUAUCCCAAGUGAGAAGGCAAGGUUAGUAACCUAGUAACCUAUGUUCUUUGCUGGAGAAUCAAAAUGUCAAGUUAGGGCACUCGGAUACAACCCAAUUUUAUUCCUAAACUACCUGGGCUAAUUAUACCCUACUGGUAUGAUUUUAUACAGCUCUCUGUAUCUUCCAAUCUUACAUUUAAAAUUUAUGAUAGAAACUGGCCAGGUGCGGUGGCUUACACCUGUAAUCCCAGCACUUUGGGAGGCCAAGGCAGGUGGACCACUUGAGGUCAGAAGUUCGAGACUAGCCUGGCCAACAUGGCAAAACCCCAUCUCUAUGAAAAAUACAAACAUUAGCUGGGCGUGGUGGUGGGCACCUGUAAUCCUGGCCUCUUGGGAGGCUGAAACAGAAGAAUCACUUGAACCCAGGAGGCAGAGGUUGCAGUGAACUGAGAUUGUGCCAUGGCACUCCAACCUGGGUGACAGAGCGAGACUCCAUGUCAAAAAAAAAAAAAAAAAAAAGAAAUAUAGGCGAGGAAAGGCUGUGACUCCAUUUUUCCCCAUUAUCCUUUUACUGCUUUAGAAUUCUUUGGUACAACAUCAUUAAUGGGGAGAGAGGUUCUGUCUCAAGAAUUCCAACCAAACAUCCUACAUUUCUUCUCAAACAGGACUUGGCUAAUUCACAGUGCCUGGGUUUGAGGUGGCUAAAGAUUCUAGGAUUGGCAGGCAGAUAGAGAGGCAAUCUUUUUGUAAAAUGCUUCAGAGCUCAAACAUAUGAUUGAGAAAGUCUGUCAGCCAGGAGAUACAACCAGGAUAAAAGCCUACCCUUAAAUCAUACACAUAAGGAGGAAUAAGGCAAAAUAGAGCAAUUUCCUUUAAACCCCUCCUCUCACUGGUAGCAACUGGCAUGAGCCGCCUGUGACUUUCAGCACAAUAAACAUAAAAUGGCCAAGGGUCACCCAUGACCCAUGAGUGCUCUUCUCCCAACAACACAGUCACCUAAGGACAUGCUGACUAAACAAGCAGGCAGGAAGCCACUCUCUUCUUUCCAGUGACACUCUCACACUUUCUAACAACUUCAAACCAAGACAGGUUUCAUCACAUAUUUUGUUUAGUCCCCCAUGGCAUUAGUGGGCUAUCAAACUAGUAACGAUGCAUUUUUUUCUUUCUUUCUUUCUUUUUUUUUGAGAUAGUCUCACUCUGUCGCCCAGGGUGGAGUGCAGUGGUGCGAUCUCAGCUCACUGCAACCUCCACCUCCCGGGUUCAAGCAAUUCUCUGCCUCAGCCUCCCGAGUAGCUGGGAUUACAGGCACCUGCCACCACACCUGGCUAAUUUUUGUAUUUUCAGUAGAGACAGCAUUUCACCAUCUUGGCCAGGCUGUUCUUGAACUCCUGACCUUGUGAUCCACCCACCGUGCCGGGCCAUAACAAUGCAUUUUACAAGGCAAUUAGAAGUAAUAAAAGAAUGUCGCUACUAAAACAUUAUGGCUAUCUUGAAUAACUCAAAUAGUCUGGAAAGCCCAAAAUGAAGCAUCAUAAAUUUACUAGGUUUCCCUAUAAAAUGUUUGAUACAAGGGAUAUGUGAAACUUCUGACUUACAUGUCUGCUAAAUCAACUUAAUGAAUGUGGAAAUCAGACUAGAAAUUUGCAAAAGCUACUUAAGGAAUACUUUUACCUUCAGUAAAGACAAGAGCAGAAUAGGAGAAGAAAACAUUUUUUACACAAAGCACAAUAUGCUUUCAUAUUCCAAAUAUUGGAAAAAGGGCUAAGGCCAUAUCCCUUUCUUCCUCAUAUCCAACAGUUUGCUUUUAAACUGAAUUCAAAUUCAGUAUGCAAACACCAAAGACCACCCAAUGAAAAAUGGCCUGAGCCACCUAACAGUCACUGAACUUUAAGGCUGCCUUUGACAGCCCCUGGAGUAGGAGAAGGAUUCAAAAAGGAAGCUAGACUUGAGACAUCUGAGAGUAAAUCAGCAGCAUUACUGAGGGUGAGAUGGAGGCUUUAAAUAGAGGGAAAGGAUGGGUGUGGGAAGGAAAUGGUGGAAAUCAGUGCAAAAAUAAGCUGGAGUCAGCUCAAUGGGGCUGAUGAAGAGGAUGAAAAGACAUUGAUGUAGCAAAUGAUGCUGGAAGAUGUAAGGUAUGAGAUUAGGGGAAAAACUGCUUAGAAAAGAGAUGAUUUGGAUGUUCAAGAACUUUCUCCAGAGACACUACAGUAAUUCCUCCUUGCCCACCUGUAGGUUUACGGCAGUAGUUUUGAGGGUACCUUCUAACUUAUCCCCAAAUCUCUUCUCUCUGUUCACUGUUUUUUUCCAUUAUAAAAGGCAUAUUUUGGAGUGGCUAUGAGGUUAGACAAACAGAUCAAUUAGCUUUUCCUGUAAAGAAUUUUUCCUACAUUAAGCCUUACUGAAUUUUCAAAAGUAUCCCAGAUGUUGAGAGAGGAAGCAUUAUGUUCAGAUGUCAGGCUCCUUUCCACCUGACCAAAACUUACCAUGCUUUGUGUUCUCUCAAAGUCCUAGCAUAUUCAUCAGCUGGUGUAGGCUGCAAAUCAGCAUAAAAAAAUGUAUUUCCUUCCAAGCUUGAUAGGCCUGAAGUUUUCUUGAGAAAGGAACAAGGCUUCUGCCUGACAACAUACAAGCCAGUGCUGCACAUCUCUGAGUCUUCAUUCUCUCUCACUUGACUCUGUUCUUGGCACAAACAGGCUGGAAUUUGCCUUAAUAGCAGAGAUCACCAGAGCAAGUCCCCAUGGACCUGCCUGUGGGUAUAUCCUUUGAGCAGAGAAACAGCAUUUCCAAGAUCAUCAUGAACUGAUGAAUAGAGUCUUUUAAACUUAUCUUUUAAGUAAAGAAGUACCUUAAUAGCCUCAACUUAGGCAACUCAAAUCCACACUCACUAAUCAAUCUGGGUUUUAUGGUCAAUUUGUACAGGCACUAAAACAACAACAAAACACCUUAAACUUUAAAGCAGAUGGCCCCUAAAUAGUUCUCUCCUUUAGUUUUGUUUGAGUAACCUAGGGAUCUGAAUAUUAUUAACCACAUCUGGAAGUAUGUGUGUAUGCACGUAUGUAUUUUUAUGUGUAGGGGUACAGACAAGAAACUGAGUUUCAUGUUAAAAACUAUAUUCCUUA